UUGUGGUUUAUGAAGUCGCGUGGCUGAAACAAUAAGUAAAUGUUAUAUAUGUUUAACUGUGGGGGUAUAUAAGUCUAUACGACAUCUGUUUUUGUGUAUCUACAGAUUAAAGACAUCUACACCUGUACAGAUUAACGAUAGCUACAGACACCUGAACAAUAAUCAUGAGAAGCUUAAUGGUUACCGUGUGUAUUGUCCUGUGUACAGUUACAUUUGGAGAAUCUAAAAUAAGAAGCAAGAGACAAGCUGCUUAUGGAUAUGGUGGACAGACAGCUUAUGGAAUGCCUUCUCAAUAUCCCUCUGCUUAUGGGGCUGCGGUAGAUCCAGCUCAAUAUAGUGCUUACGGUGCAGCAGCUAAUCCAGCUGGUUAUGGCAACGCUGCAUAUGGCAACGCUGCUUAUCAACCUGCUUACCAACAAGCAGCAGCUAACCCGGCUUAUGGCAAUGUUGCUUACCAGCAAGCAGCAGCCAACCCGGCCUAUGGCAAUGUUGCUUACCAACAAGCAGCAGCCAACCCUGCCUAUGCUGCUGUCCCAGCUGCCAGUCCUUACGGUUACGCUAUUACACCCUAAAUAGGGGUACUCCUUAAUCUAUAUAAUAUAUGUUAUACUACAUUGUUGUACGGUAAAUAUACAAUCAGGCGACGUAUUGUUUUUUGUAAAUAAUCGAGAUUUAUAAAUUGUUUGAAUGUUAUAAAUACCAUGUUAUAUAAAUGUGUUAUUAAUAAAUAUAAUAAAAUCAUUACUCAUU